UAAUUUUACCAUUAUAUGACAACACCCACUACCAUCACCAACAAAACAUACACUUAAAAUACCUUAAAAUCAUUCUAUUCCAUCUUCCAUUCCAUUCCUCCGAUCCAAACGCAGCAUAAUGGUUUCAAGGAAGGGUAAAACACUCCUUAUCCUUACACUUGUCCUGAAAACUAUGUGCCAGUCAAACAGGCUCACUUAAAUCGAGACGGGGAUUAUCAUUUAUCAUAAUUUUGUCUUUUAUGUUUCAUACACGUGUCCUAGUACAAAGUACAUUCAAUUAGAAGAGAUAAAGCACGCCUGUUUGAAGAUUGAAUCAGCAAGGAAGAAUUUUUAUAUACCUUUAUAAAUAGCCAGUAUGUAUAACUGAGUUGUGGUGUAAUGGUUUUAUUGAUGGAAAAAAAAAGUGAAGUCAAGUCGUGGGAGUUGAUCUGUUUUUAUUUUAUUAUUGAGUAAACUCAAUUUCAUUUGUUUUUCACAACUUUCAGUUGUUUUGGAAUAUCAUGCAAGUCGGUUUGAUGAAUUACAGGAACCAUAUUGUGAUUGAACUUUGUUAGACUAUAUUGGCAUUGGGGGAGUUGUGCCUCCACUUGAUGUUUUUAAGACUCAAC
rnacentral:lncRNA from 1 species